UACGGAAGGCAGCAGUGGGGAAUAUUGCACAAUGGGCGAAAGCCUGAUGCAGCUAUGCCGCGUGUAUGAAGAAGGCCUUAGGGUUGUAAAGUACUUUCAUCGGGGAGGAAAAACAAAACUAAUAAUUUUAUUUCUUGACGUUACCCGAAAAAGAAGCACCGGCUAACUCCGUGCCAGCAGCCGCGGUAAUACGGAGGGUGCUAGCGUUAAUCAGAAUUACUGGGCGUAAAGAGCACGUAGGUGGUUUUUUUAAGUCAGAUGUGAAAUCCCUGGGCUUAACCUGGAACUGCAUUUUGAAACUGAAAUACUAGAGUAUCGUAGAGGGAGGUAGAAUUCUAGGUGUAGCGGUGAAAUGCGUAGAUAUCUGGAGGAAUACCUGUGGCGAAAGCGGCCUCCUAAACGAAUACUGACACUGAGGGUGCGAAAGCGUGGGGAGCAAACAGGGAUUAGAUA
rnacentral:rRNA from 1 species